rnacentral:rRNA from 1 species
AUUGAACGCUGGCGGCAUGCUUUACACAUGCAAGUCGAACGGUAACAGGCCGCAAGGUGCUGACGAGUGGCGAACGGGUGAGUAAUGCAUCGGAACGUGCCCAGUCGUGGGGGAUAACGCAGCGAAAGCUGUGCUAAUACCGCAUACGAUCUAUGGAUGAAAGCGGGGGACCGUAAGGCCUCGCGCGAUUGGAGCGGCCGAUGUCAGAUUAGGUAGUUGGUGGGGUAAAGGCCUACCAAGCCGACGAUCUGUAGCUGGUCUGAGAGGACGACCAGCCACACGGGGACUGAGACACGGCCCAGACUCCUACGGGAGGCAGCAGGGGGGAAUUUUGGGCAAUGGGCGCAAGCCUGAUCCAGCAAUGCCGCGUGCAGGAAGAAGGCCUUCGGGUUGUAAACUGCUUUUGUACGGAACGAAACGGUCUGAGUUAAUACCCUGGGCUAAUGACGGUACCGUAAGAAUAAGCACCGGCUAACUACGUGCCAGCAGCCGCCGUAACAC